rnacentral:rRNA from 1 species
AUGUUAGGAUCGACUGGCUCAUCCUCAUCAUCCGAAAAGAAAAUAGAGACAAAACAGAUUGGUUUCAAUGACAUAUCUAAUCAGACUGAAAUUGAUGUCGAAGACACGAUCAUUCACAUCAAUUGAAGCAGGCAGGAAGGGCGCGGAAGCUACCAUUUAUGCAAUGCAAGCAAGGUAGCUUGCUUACUCUCCAUCUAG